rnacentral:rRNA from 1 species
UACGAAGGGGGCGAGCGUUGUUCGGAUUUACUGGGCGUAAAGGGCGCGCAGGCGGCGAUUUUUUGUCAGGCGUGAAAGCCCCGGGCUCAACCUGGGAACUGCGUUUGAUACGGGAUUGCUAGAGAUCGGGAGAGGAGAGUGGAAUUCCCAGUGUAGAGGUGAAAUUCGUAGAUAUUGGGAAGAACACCAGUGGCGAAGGCGGCUCUCUGGACCGAUACUGACGCUGAGGCGCGAAAGCGUGGGGAGCAAACAGGG